CCCGGUAAUGCUCCUUUCUCUCGGGCGGCGCAGCCCGGCGGCGGGGAAGCAGGCCGGCGGAUAAUUACCCCUCGCUGCAAUCCGCAGAGCUGGCCUAAUCCGAAAGCUCAAGUGCCCGAUGAAGGCUGCAGCGAGGCACUGGCACGAGUUAGGACAACUGAGCUGCAGAGUGCACGAUGGAGGAACAGGGAAGAGAGCCGGGCUCCACUGCCGCCUUCUUGGCAGCGCAGUGGGUGACAAGAAUGCUCUCUGAUUUCCCCUCACGUCUCCCAGCAGCCAGAGAAAGGUCUGAUCAGAUGGUCUUCUACCACAACAGAGCGUUGCCGGACACCCAGCAAAGAAACGAUAAAGGUUUUAAACUUCCCCCCUCGCUCAACUUCUCCAGGCAGCGAGCAGAGAGGGCUUCGAGCCUGGAAACGCGGACGGGGUUUGGGGGAGACGGAGCUGAUGGGCACGGCCGCGUCUCCUGCAGGAGAGCCCCGCAGCAUGGGAAAUUAGCAGUCCAAAUCUGCUAGUGGGGACUGGGUCCCACAAAGCCCACGCGUUGGGAAGGCUGAGUGUCUCUCUCGCGCCUAUUCAAUCUGCCCAGGCUGGUUGCAGCGAAUAAAUAGAGUCAUUGUGGAGCCCA